CGCCUCGUCAUCGGGGAGUAGUCGCCCACGCCAAGGUGGGGCGCGCGUCAACACACUUUCCCUCGCCCGGAGGGAAUGGCGCGUGCGGGGCUCCGUCAGACCUCAGGGUCGCGGAGCU
rnacentral:sRNA from 2 species